rnacentral:tRNA from 1 species
UGGCUCAGUGGUAGAGUGCUUGCCUUGCAUGCAUGAGGCCCUGGGUUCGAUUUCCCAG